GACGAACGCUGGCGGCGUGCUUAACACAUGCAAGUCGAACGGAAAGGCCCUGCUUGCUUGCGGUGAUGGGGGGGGGAAGGGGUGAGGAGGAGGAAAGUAACCUGACCUUGAUUUUGGGAUGAGAUAAGGUAACUAAGGCUAAUAACGGACAGGAGAUCACGUUGGUGUGUAGGGAGGGGAUAGUCUAGGCGGGUGGGGAUGGAUCCGCGGAUCAUCAGCUUGUUGGUGGGGGAGUGGCUGACCACGCCUGUGACCGGUAGCCGGCCGGUGAGGGUGACCGGCGACAUUGGGACUGAGAUACGGCGCAGUCUCCUACGGGAGGCAGCAGUGGGGAAUAUUGUACAAUGGGCGCAAGCCUGAUGCAGCGACGCCGCGUGCGUGAUGACGGCCUGCGGGUUGUAAACCGCUUUCGCCUGGGACGAAGCGUGAGUGACGGUAACGGGAGAAGAAGCACCGGCUAACUACGUG
rnacentral:rRNA from 1 species